rnacentral:misc_RNA from 1 species
UACGGAGGGUGCAAACGUUGCUCGGAAUCAUUGGGCGUAAAGCGCGCGUAGGCGGCUUGAUAAGUCGGAUGUGAAAUCCCUCGGCUUAACCGGGGAAGUGCAUUCGAAACUGUCAGGCUUGAGUAUGGGAGAGGAUUGCGGAAUUCCCGGUGUAGAGGUGAAAUUCGUAGAUAUCGGGAGGAACACCAGAGGCGAAGGCGGCAAUCUGGACCAAUACUGACGCUGAGGUGCGAAAGCGUGGGGAGCAAACAGG